GGCCUACUUGUGAGGACCGGCACGCCCCUUUGGAGAAGGAGGCACCCACAUAAAAAUAAAUCAGUAUCAGCAGAAGUGCAUGCUUUAACUUCCCGUCACUAUUACUAAAAGUUAUACUUUAAGCUCUCUCCAAAGCCUCUCAAACCGUAUGGAUGAGUUUCACUUGUUGGGAGUAUUCUACAUAUGGAGUACACUUGGAAUCAUACGAUUGUAUUUAGUUGAGCCUUUCUUUUAGUUGGAUAAGAUAUGUUUCACUGCCGUUUCCGUCCUGCAUGGCUCUUCAAACCGGAGGUGUCCCACCGAAUACGUCAUGUGAUCAUACGAGUCCUCUACAAAUAAGCUGUAAGAAGAAGCAGCAGAUACCAUCGCCUCUCACACCUCUUUAUUCUUAUGAAUUCAAGGCACAGAAGCUAUUUCUCAUCAUCCGACUCUUUCAUUUUUUCUUUCCAGCCGUAGAGUUGUCUUGAGCCAAACUCAUAUGGACCCAUUGAAUCACACCUAUCUAAUAAAUCCACCUCACAAAGGAUUUGAAAAUCGCCGGACCGUAUCAAAGCAAAAUGACAUGCUUCGUAGUGUACCGGUCUGGAGAGAGUUCAGCUGCGAGCCGCGUUACAAAUAAAGACAUUCUGGACAGAAAACCGAAACAAAAAACGUCUGAAUUGAAUUAACUGAGCUGAAUAGAUGAAAUCAAUUUAAAAAUGUUCUUUCAUUAAGCACCUCCUAUCAAUAACCUUAUGGUUCACAUGUUAUGGCGCAACACUUUAAUGGAUCAUUUAUUUCAUAUGGAUUUAUCCAAUAUUGGACGCGGUUAGGGUUUUAUGAGUAAAUACGGACAUCAAGCAGCGCCACACGGUCCAUUAUCUAAAUGGUUUAAUUGAUGUGAGCGUACGACUGGCUGAGUUCCACCCAGUAACCCCUCAGUGCCUGGCAGGGGAGAAACACAUUGUCAUCCAGGCACUCGACUCGGAUCUUCCUCUGAGGUUUCAUCGUCCUCCAUAUGAAGGAGAGAGAGAGAGCGACUGAGGACUUUAAAGCAAAGGCACUGUUCUCUGUUUGCCACCAGCAGCAGUCUGCAUCUCCCGGCACCCAGAGACAGCAUUAAGGUGGACUCCUUCCUUUGUGUUUCACACACAGUGAUGGCUGCCAGGACUCACAGCCACUGAUUGGCAAAGAGGGAGGAACCUUUUCAUGUGUGUGUGUGUGUGUGUGUGUGUGUGGGAGGGGGGGAGGGAGGGGGGGCUCCCUUUUGACUUGACUCUGGUGGGAGAUGCUGCGACUGAGCUGCCUACAAAGCUGAGGGUGGAGAAAAGAAGAAGAAGAAGAAGAAGGAAAAAACACAGAAAAACAAAAGGGACAAAAGUAAACCGUUUGACUCCGGGGGACAAACUGGGAUACCAGGUGUUAAAUAAUCUUCUCAUAACCUGCUUAGCUUUCUCAAAAUAACCCAAUUUGGACGGUGCUAUAUGGCACCAGGAAAUCAGCCUCCCCCUGGGCUCUGCAGGCAAAUUAGUGGGACACUUGUACCCGCAUGGCAAUGCUAACAGGGAUGCUGCUCAGCAUUCACAGCGAGGGGAACACAUUAAACAAGGUUACAUUUGUGACUUUGGUACCAACACCAGAUUCCACACACUGACACAGCUUCCUUCAUAACAAGGGACAUUUUCUUAACUGCCCUUUUGUUCUAAUAUAUAUAUAUAUACACACAAAUUAUUCUCAUUAUCAAUCGCUUUGGGGAAGAUUCAAAUUCUAUGCACGCACAUGCUACAAAUUAGGCUCACAAUGUUACCAUUCCGUGCAUGUGAUGAUUAGCAGCAAUCAUGAAUGUUUGUGGUACGGCCUGAAAAUAAAAUCUUGUUCCAUCUGUUUUUGUUUCCUCUUGAAAACAGACAAAGCAUAUGAAAUAUAAAAAAUAGAAAUAAGAGAAUGAGAUUGUCCCUGAAGAACGUGUCCUCCCUCUCGGCUGCGCGCAGUGUUUGAGAUGCUGGGGAGGCUUUUUUCUCUCAGACUUCAGACAAGCGUUACAGCGGACAGUGUUUGCUUCACGUUGCCGAGGAGACGGUGCCUUUUUCGAGGAAAGAAUUCCACAGUUUGAUUAUCAUGCUGCCAUGUUGAAUUGUCUUCCAGUGUCUUAAGCCGUCUGAACAGAACUGGCACGUAAACAAGCUACUCGGCCGAAGGGACGCGGAGGUGAAAACACAGUGAUGUUGUUGACAUGUUUCAUUUUUAACCAUGAAUUCCAGUAAAUAGAUAAAAAUCGAUUUAUUUAUUGUUACCAUGUAAACAAUUGCGUAAAAAGCCUUGAGGACGUCUUCUACAAGCACUGGGAUCAAAAUACAGACGUUUUUCCUGUACGGACACGUAACAGGGACCUAUAGUUAGGGUAGGUAUGACAUGGUAUGGUAGUUAUGAUACAGUAUGGUAGUUAUGACAUGAUAUGGUAGUUAUGAUACAGUAUGGUAGUUACGGUAGUUAUGAUAAGGUAGUUAUGAUCUGUAUGAUAGUUAUGGUAGUUAUGAUAUGGUAGUUAUGAUACAGUAUUUGUUAUGGAAGUUAUGAUAUGGUAGUUAUGAUAGGGUAUGAUAGUUAUGGUAGUUAUGAUACAAUAUGGUAGUUAUGGACACAUUAUGGUAGUUAUGAUAUGGUAUGGUAGUUAUGAUACAGUAUUGUAGUUAUGGCAGUUAGUUAUUAUAUGUUAUGAUACGGUAUGCUAGUUAUGGUAGUUAUGAUACAGUAUAGUAGUUAUUAUACGGUAUGGUAGUUAUGAUAUGUAUGGUAGUUGUGGUAGUUAUGAUACGGCAUGGUAGUUGUGGUAGUUAUGAUACGGCAUGGUAGUUGUGGUAGUUAUGAUACGGCAUGGUAGUUGUGGUAGUUACAGUAUGAUACGGUAUGGUAGUUGUGGUAGUUACAGUAUGAUACGGUAUGGUAGUUGUGGUAGUUACAGCAUGAUACGGCAUGGUAGUUGUGGUAGUUAUGAUACGUUAUGGUAGUUGUGGUAGUUACAGCAUGAUACGGCAUGGUAGUUGUGGUAGUUACAGCAUGAUACGGCAUGGUAGUUGUGGUAGUUAUGAUACGGUACGGUAGUUGUGGUAGUUAUGAUACGGCAUGGCAGUUGUGGUAGUUAUGAUACGGCAUGGUAGUUGUGGUAGUUAUGAUACGGCAUGGUAGUUGUGGUAGUUAUGAUACGGCAUGGUAGUUGUGGCAGGUCCUGCCUGCUUUAUGGGGACAUUAAUAUUGCAGCUCAUAUGUUUUGCUGCAGGUGAGCAGGGAGGUGAAGAGGCACUGACCCACUUCAAUAAUGAGGUACAAUGAGAUCCAAUCCGAAAGCCAGCGAGGGAAGUCUAUAUUUUAUUCAUAUGGAUAUUAACACUGGGGAGGGGGAGAAGACACUGAUUAAUAUCAAUAUCUUGACAAAAGGAAGUGUCUCUAAAACGGCCGGCUAAUUUGUGCUCUGCAGAAACACUUUUAUGAAAAAGACAAAAAGCUGGGUGAUUAAUUUGGGCUCGUAGGGCCAAAACCCCCCACAACCCACACACACACACACAGACACACACAUUCACACUGCUUCAUUCCUCCCCAAAAGUGGUACCGGUGUUUAGAGCUACACUAGUUGAGCACAGGGGAGGUUCAGCUGCGGAAUGCACCAGAGUUAUGAUGGCGGGAGCCCACGCACUCUGUAAGGUUCCCCCGUAGAUGCAGUUAAUGGAUGCACACAAUGAGCCUCAAUGGCCCUGCGAUGAUGGAUGUGGGCCACUGUGUGAAAGGCUCCACAGACAAACCAGCCAGGACAACUUAGAAAAGUGGUAGGAGAGCAAGAGGAGGGGAGCGUACACUGCAGAAAUGUUGCCAGGGAACAUUUGGAGAAAUAUAAUUGCGGUGCAGUAUUCCUGAGCGGGGUUUUAAUUGCGCAGAGAGGGAAACAGAUUGGCUGAGAAUCUUGCUGAGGAACCCAGAAGUGUCUGAGCUGGAAAUGAGCUUGAAUGCAUGUGUGUCACAUAAUGGUGUGGGACAAUGAAUAGAUUUAAUUUCACUUUUUUUCUGGCCAAAACAGUCUCAAUUAACAAUAUUAUCUAGACAAUACAUUAUUUAUUUAAAAAAAAGUCAAAUAAUUUACAUUUCGUUAAAAAACGAAUACUUAAAUUCAUCAGAGAGAAGUUAAUAAAGAGUCUCUAAUACAUGAUCAUAAAUCAUAAGGUCAUAAGGAUGAAGUAGAUUUUUAAAUAAUUAUUCCUUUAAUUAUAAAAACAGUCUAUUAUUUCCAUCCCUCUACCAUAAUAACAAAGUCACUCGUCUGACAAUAUUUAAAAUGAUUUCAUUCAAGGAAAAAAUCUUUUCUUGACCCAGAAUUAAAACCUGUAUCGUCUCUAAUAUACAAAUACAAAUUUGUACAAAAUAGACAAAAGAAUCAAGAAUAUAAAUAUAAAAUAUUAAGAUCAGACGAACAAGCAUGUUUACUAUGGACAUAGUUCUGUUGAAACAGAUAAAAGGAACAAACUAACAUUCACUGAAUAAUCCUUGAGAAGAAGACCUGAUGUUAUGUCUUGAUUUCCUGUUGUGUCUGAGUGCAUAACAAUGAGACUUGCAUUCACGCUUUCAUAUUGUUCAUGUUUUAACACUUGAGUGUGGGUGUCUUCUUUUAGCGUUGGAGCUAUAAAGGUCAUCUCAACUAGCACUCAAAUAUUCCUCUACAUACAGUGUACUGAACCAUGACCUCAACAGUUUUUAUUUCUAGUUGCUUUUUUAUUGUAAUUAAAAAAUAUGUAAAUAAGUAAUAAGUAAAUGUCACGAAUUUUUUGACUUUUAACCCCCAAAUAGUUCCUACUUAUCGGCUUAAUCCAUAAUGUACUUUGUUUUACUUUGUUUUCUCAUAAAUUUAAACCAUGUUUUGAGUUUCUCAACGGACUGCAAGAGCACCAAAGUCCCAUUUGGCCGUUGACCUUCACAAAACCACACAGUCACGCCCUAAUUGGCGCCGGUGCAAAACUCACCAGCCAAACCUGCUCCGCGCCUCGUGGAACAAUCAGAAGAGCCCCGGCCUGCUGCAGUAACAGCGAAUACGGCCAACGCCGUACCGCGGUAGUGAGCAUUAUCUACGGCGCCACUUGGCCGACUGCGUCUCGCCCACAGCGAAUCACCCCAUUACGGUUUUCUUUUUCCUCCUUAUACUUGGCCUGCCCCCAUCAGCACCUCGUCCCGAGGGGCAGCCAUUAGGCCCAAAGCAGGAGCCUCCACUCAGGGUCUGAUGGAUGUGCCUGGUGGGUGCGCUCGUCGCAUUGGGGGGGCGGGGGUGCGGACCCUACACCGACGGAGGUGAUUAUGCACAGUGGGCCCAUUGUGAACGUUCUGCAGUGGGAGGGCGCAGGCUGCUGCAUUGCCGGUGUGAUUGCGGUGCGUCGGAGAUGACCGGGGGGGGGGCUCUCGCCCUCUGACCUCUGCUCCGAUGUUUACCGCUUCCUGUCGUCACACACCAGGUAACAGCAGAAGUGUGGGGGGGGCAUAAAAGGGCGGCCGAUCGGUUUCCUCCGCGGUCGCAGCCAUCCCGAAGCCAUCGCUUGACACCGUGGUCCGCUAGUUAUGAUGAAUGGUAUGAAGCCGCACCCCACAUUCCGUCUGCUGAACUGCAGUGUCAGAGGAACUUUGUGUUUCGCUGCAGUGGCCUCGUCCUGCCCUUCUCCCGUAUCGUGUUCUGUUCCAAUGAGCAGCUCCGCUCGGGCCUGUCACUACUCCCCUUUCUUUCCCAGACCGGAGCCUGGUCACAUGGAGGAAAAGGGGGAGGGAGGAUUCAACAAUGGGCUCCAUAUAACCAAGAAAACUAGUAUUUACUGCAAGCGAUGCUCAAAAAGUGCGAUUCAAGACAGAAUGAAUGUGCCAGUUGGACGGCGGCUAAUCACACAUUUGUCAAAAGGGGCUUUUUUUCGCGCCGUGAAUCUGUUUUGGCUCCGGCUCGUGACGCCUGUCAAGGCGCUGAACACGUGUUGUGUCUCGAGCGCCCCGCCGAACGUUACAUAAACACAGAUAAAUAGGGCGUAGCAGGAACAGCAUACAGCGAUGCUUCCCCGGGGAUUGUCAUUUAUCGUUGGUUGUUUUUGAUUGUUUAAAGCGCGAGCAUGUGAGGCAUGUGUCUCAUAUUCUCUUAUCUGCUCGGCAUUCGUUGCAUUUGGAGAUGACAGGCUAAACAAACACCGCAUUCGCCUUUUCCAAAUCAUAACUGGUCCCACAUGGCCCCGCAAUGAUAAGUGGGUGUUUUCUAAUCGGGUUAAGUAAACCCGGGCAGCGAUCCGCUCCCUCCUGGAGGCGUUCUCCUUCUCCGUGUCAUCGCGCCGGACCUCUCUAAGCCCAGUUCACGGUCUCACUCGUCUGAGACGAAUACCAAAGCUCGGUGCAUCCGAUAAUGAAACAGCAGUGACGGGAGAAGAAGGUCACAUUGACUCCACGGCUAAUCUCCAUCCUCUCCAGUCAAGCACACACGGUGACAGACAAAUGAGCUGCUCUCAGAUGCAUUAACACCACAAACAAAUCCGCCAUUCUGCAUCCAGUUGCAAUGCCCAGGCGACGGCGUCUCCCCUUGGCGUCCCGCAGGGCGAUCUCUCCGUCAGCCGCGUGACGCGGGGCCUGAUGAUGACUCUAUCACAGGUGACAGUGACAAGCAGGUCCCUCAUCACACCUCAUGUACAAGUGAUGUCAGAACAGCUGCGCGCUUCAAAAGAAAAGCCCGCGUGUCCUCAUUUGUUGCUUUCCGCCACUUCAUCAUCCGGACACAAUGACACCAGGUAGCCGAGGCGGAUACUGUGAAAGUCACUAAAGAGGAGGCAUUGUUUCAUUUGAGAUGAAAAUAUAUUAUCUCCUCGUCUUAAGGGGCCGAGAGAAGCCACCUGCCAGAACCCCCCCCAAAAAAACAAUCUUUAAAUAUAAAUAAAGCUAAAGCUUACAGAUCACCACGCGAAAAAGAAAAGCAUCACAUCACACACAAUCAUUAAAAAACACAAACAGCAUGUGUUUAUUGAGGAUCCACCUUCAGCAGCAGGCUAACACAGAAGCGCUAAGACGCGUGGCUAUGAUUGGCCGGGCUGCGUCGGAGAGGGCGGGACUUGGCAAAUGGUCAACUGGUAAUGUAACAGCAACACCUGAAGCUGAAGUGCAGGUCCACACACGUGUCGGCCAUACGUGAGCAUGGCUUUGAUAUUGUGCUGUUAUACCAGCAGGACGAUUUCCCUUCUUUCAUCUGCAGCUCAGUUGUUACAACUAGAUGGCACAAUAUAUGGCUGCUCAUAUUUAAAACGUUUGUCAUUUGCCCCAAAAUAAUAGUGUUUGUGUGUGUGUGUGUGUGUGUGUGUGCGCGUGUAGCAGGAAGGAUCUGGCACCGAGCACACGGCUGCUAUAACCGUCCCACUCUCACAGUUUGGAAGGUGCCAGAGAAGUCAAAGUGAUUCCAACACGCCAUGUGUUCCAAUUCUUCUCAAUUUAGUUAAAAGCGAAAGGGGUAAAAACGUGCGGACUGCACAUUAUCCUGUUGGUGUGUCUUUGCUCCACCCGGGACUUGUUCGGGUGGGGAAGCGUGUGCUCCACCCUCAGCUGAUCGUUCUGACGAUCCAGCCGGCGGCGUCUCUGCCGUGUGGCGUUGACCUCAUGCUUCUAGUUCCUGCAGAGACCCCCAGUAGGGACACACAUUCGUUCGCUUCACUUCUGUGGAGGCUAAAAGUUAUUCCUUUUAUUGGGUUGUUUUUUUUGCACCAGAGACCCUCAGCUUUCCCCUAUAAGACGUGCAUUCCUUGUUAGAUGUCCGUGUGACACAGAAGGUGGAGGACGUGUGCUCAGGUCUGUUAGGACGUAUCACAUUAGCAUUCCUAACUACUGCCAUCGCUUCAAUCAGCAGAGACAAGACGGAGAAAGACAGAUAAUUGUUCGUGAUUAAUAAAUGAUACGAUGAAGACAAAGUCUUCUUGGUCUCAGACUCUACAGGGAGGUUUGUAAUCGGUCUGCCCUGAGCAGCAGGAUGAAUCCCCCCCCCCCCCCCGUGGAGUCCGAACACUGGUGGAGCUGAAUGAUGAGCUGAUGAAGCUCGGGCGGAGAUGUGGAGGUGAAGUGACAGCAGCAAGGUGACAGGCUGGGGUCCCCCUGCCCCCCCACACACACACUAUAUUCAGCGGCAGAUCGCCGUGGUUAUUUUAAGCCAAAGGACCCAAACUUAUUCUUAAUAGGAUUUUGUUUUAUUGGGAAGAAGUUCUUUAUGAAAAAGAGUGGAAAUUGUCACGUGUCGCGGAAAAAUGAGGAUGUCACAUGAACCGUUAAGAAGAUACGUUGAAUACUCACAUGAUCAUGUAGGUUUCUGAUAAGAUGUAACCUUCUACAACCAGCCUUUUGUUUGUUACGGCAAUGAGAGAUACCAAGUCCCACUACCGUCCUGUGCGGGUUGUGGACGGAUGUCUCCUCCGAGGCGGCGUGGAACCGCUGAUGUGCUUUAAGGCUCACUAAUUAACACAUUAGCCUGCGAGCAUUCUAAUCUGAUGAGUGUGAAAUGUUCCUGGUUUCCCAGGAGGUUCUUUGCUCUAGAAUAAGUUUGCCCGGCGCAUUUUGUACGUACAAAGUCCCCUCAAACAGAGCUGUGCGCUCUCCAGUCGUACUGCUGAGCUUGAGUGACGGAC
ensembl:lncRNA